rnacentral:lncRNA from 1 species
CAAGGGUACUUCUGCUGGCCCGAACUGAACCAGAACAAGUGUAUCUCCACUUUUUCUGAUUCAGUAACUUUAGGUGACAAAGUAACUAAUUUUAAUCCCUGGUUGAUAAACUCUCCUGAAUCAUUUAAGCUAAGCUACACAUUUCAUCCAGAAUUCCUGGCAAAGGUGUUAGAAUUUCUCCAUGAUUGGUCAGUGAGCUCAUCAGCAUUUUCCCAGAACCUGGGGUCCGUGGCUGCUGGGACCUUAGAAGUUAGUCAUCCUCUUCCUCUUGAUUUUCAUUUCCUGGUAGCAAGUUGACGACUGUCUGUCAUGGGCCCUUGUUUGUUACAGACAGCCUUAAUGGUAUGUUUGGGGAUACCAGAGCGGAACCCUGUGAUGAUCCUGUUCCAAGGAUGAGAUUUAUUUGGUUAGCACACUGUUUUAAGGCAUAAAUGUGAAUGCCUUGGUCACCAUGGGCACUAGCCCUUAUUACCAAAAAAGCAUAUUAUACGUUAAUCUGUCUGUUCUGAAGAUGUGUGAAAUGCUACCCACAAUAGACCUUAGGAAGUUAAACUGUAUCUCUUAUUAAGAGCAGAAUAAACCUGUAUGGAAUCAUGCAUGAAAUAUAUGCACACAUGGAAUACCAGCCAGUCAUUAAAAAGAAUAAAAUGAGGUGACCAAACAUCAGUACUGGCAAAGCUCAAAAACAUAAUGUUGAAGAACAACAACAACAACAAAAGUAUAGAAGGUUACAUGCAAAAGCAUGCUGUAUGUGGUGUAGGGUUACAUAAGGAGUAAAAAUACCAACACGUGCAUAGACAUUUCAAGAUGGUAGGCCACUGGGGCAAGAGGAAGGGGCUUUGCAUGGGGAAAUGGAGUAAAAGGGAAAAGAAAAAUGAUCAAUUUUAUUGGUAAUGUUUUAUUUAUUAGGUUGAGUGGUGGACACAGGAUUGUUUCUCACCUUAUUCUCUCUACUUUGUUUUUUAAAUAAAAUAAUUGAGGGGCUCCUGGGUGGCUCAGUCGGUUGAGCACCCAACUUCAGCUCAGGUCAUGAUCUCAUGCUUCAUGGGUUUGAGUCCCACAGUGGCUUCCUGCUCUCAGUACAGAGACCACUUCUGAUCCUCUGUCCCCCCUCUCUUUGCCCCUCCCCUGCUUGUGAUCUUUCUCUCUCAAAAAUAAAUAAAACAUUAAAAAUAAAAUAAAAUAUUUGAGAGUAUUCGAUAAUGGGACAUGUUCCACCUGGGUCAUUGUUAAAUUUCUACUUCCCAGAUGCUGUAUUGGUCAGGGUUCAAUAGCAGAGACAUAAUCUAUUCUGGGUCCCUAGCUAGUUUAGGCGGGAGAGGAUUUAAUAGUGUUUACAGAAUUCUUCAGGAGGAUGAAGGCACCAUGCUGCGAAAGUAGGAGACACCAAGAACACUGGUGUCUUUCAAGAUCGUAAGACCACUGGGCGCCUGGGUGGCGCAUUCGGUUAAGCGUCCGACUUCAGCCAGGUCACGAUCUCGCGGUCCGGGAGUUCGAGCCCCGCGUCGGGCUCUGGGCUGAUGGCUCAGAGCCUGGAGCCUGUUUCCGAUUCUGUGUCUCCCUCUCUUUCUCUGCCCCUCCCCCGUUCAUGCUCUGUCUCUCUCUGUCCCAAAAAUAAAUAAACGUUGAAAAAAAAAAUUAAAAAAAAAAAUCGUAAGACCAGACUCUAUAGCAGUGCCAGGAGAGACAGUGGGGGCAACAGAGGUGUGGCUGCCCCCUCACUGCUUCCUUCUUGGUGGCAAGAGCUCACGUGCACCUGGGAAGUGUAGUUCUGAACUUUCCAGCCUUUGCAGUGGGGGAAGACACGUGAGAAGGGAGGAAAUGUUCAUCUACCACAUUUCUCACACAAACUGGACUGCUCCAUCCUAUAAUCUCUUUCUGCCCUGAUAACCGCCUGGCCCCACCUUCAACUCCUACCUUCAGUCCCAUUCUGAGCUUCUGCCCUCAGCCUCCACAAUCAAUUGGGGAUCAGCGGUCAGAGGACUCCGUGAAAACCAAGAAGCGAUUCAGUAAGCACCGUUACUGGAUGGUGGGUUCGUGCAUUUAGGACCAGCCACAGGAUUGCAAAGAAUGCACUUGACCUGGAAAAAUAUCUGGGGUCACAGAGGAUCCUAGUCAGCGAGGUGGUCCCAAGGGGAAGGUUUAGUGUUUGGUGGUGAAGGAGCCCAGCUCUGGACUCAGACCAUCUCAGGCCGGUUUUGACGGCCUUACAUUUGCUUAAGGGUUACCUUGGGCAAGUGCCUUAAUCUCUCUGCCCUUCUGUUAUCUGCAAAAUGGGGAUGGUGUUCCUGCUGCUGAUAAUAAUAAUAAAACCUCCCUCACCAACUGUUGGGAUGAUUAGAUGAUAUGUGAUAAUGAUAAAUGGCAAACGCAAGCAAUGUUGACAAAGCACUGGGCCGAGCAGAGCACAUACUUUAACUCAUUUAACUUCACAGCAGUGCUAGAAGUGGGAACUUUCGUUGUUCGCGUCUCCCAGGUGUGGAAACUGAGGUUUGAACCCAGUGGUCGCGCAUCAGGCUCUGUGCUCAUGAUCACUCCAUGAUGCUUCUCUCAGGAUACAUGAAGGGCUCAGGACAGACUGAAUACUUGGUGAGACUGAAUCCUUAGUACUCAUUACCUGGAAGAUCAGGUAGAGGGAGGUGAGCAUGGGAAUCACAACACUGAAUUCUGUCAAGUGGAAAAAAUGUGCUGCCUGUGGGUCCAGGGCUGGGGCAUAGCUAGGUUGAGUACCCCUGAAGGCAGGUGUGCUAUCCCUCACUGUAUGUCCCCACCUCUAAGGUGGUAAAGAAAGAGGCUUAGCAGAAGCAGCUGUGAUUUUUAUAGACCUCUGGGAGAAAGCCUCCCUAUUUCAAGAGGCAGCUACCCACCCUUGGAAGUCUGUAGGUAGGGGCUCUCACAACUAAUGGGUGCAAGAUGGGAACAUGGGCAGGAGGAGAGGAGGGAACUUGUAAGGGAUGGCCAGUAUCCUUUGCUUCUCCUGCUGAAAUUCACUGCCAUGGCCGUCCCAUGAGAGCUUCGUACUACUACUUCAUCCUGUGAGUGGGAGCGUCCGAGUGAUAUGCUUAGGUAUGCCUGGGCGCCUGGCUCCUGGGAGCGAGAAGUACCAGGGGUGUUUAAUCUAGCCAGAUAUUUCUGCUUGGGGAAGGUUCUGUGCUUGUGGCUUCCUCUCUAUUGUUGACAAAGGGAACAUGGCGAAUGUUAGAAAAGUGCUAAAGACAUGCUAGAACCCAACCGAGACUUUCCUCUUCCACAAACUAUAUAUAAUGCUAAAAUGCCACUGUGGAUUAAGGAGGUCUUUCAAACAAAUGCGUAUAUUAUGAAAUUCAUCAAUGACCACAUAGCUUUGAAAAACAGUAGAUGGUAGAUAUGUAAAAAGUACUUAGCCUUCGGAUAAGGAAUGCUAGGUGGAUAUGCGGGUUAGAGGACAGGGACUUGGUCUUUGUCUCCAGGGCAUGGGAAAUAGAAGGAUCUGAGCCUACUGUCCCCAUGACUUCCAUACUCACCAGGCAGGACUGGCUACACAAUUUGCAAGGCCCAGUGUAAAAGGAAAAUGGGAGCCCCUCAUUAAAAAUUUACUAACAAUUUUAACAUACCAACAGAACAUUAAACCAAGUGUGGAGACCCUCUCAGUGUGGGGUCCUCUGAGACUGCACAGAUCACACGCACAUGAAACUGGCCCCACCACUAGGGAUUCUCCCCAAAUGAAAGCGUAGUUUCGAUGUUGGACAAUGGGCCCUCUACUGAGGUGUCCUUUUUCUUUCUACGAAGUUAGCUGAGCAAGAUGACAAGUGAUUUCACACACAACACAUGAAGCUCAAAGAACUUCCCAUUGUCCUUCUUUCCUUCCUUUUACCUAUGAGCAUUGAGCAUUGUCCCCAUGUGGGGCACUAGGAAAGACUUCACUGCAACCUUGAGGGGACUCACUUUGUUGUCUAGAAGAUAACAAAGGGUCCUCAAGGGGCCCUUCCAAUUCUUUGUGGACCUGAGGAGCCAGGGUUCCAAUUGUGUUUUAGAAAGUCACACAUAUAGGGGCGCCUGGGUGGCGCAGUCGGUUAAGUGUCCGACUUCAGCCAGGUCACGAUCUCGCGGUCCGUGAGUUCGAGCCCCGCGUCGGGCUCUGGGCUGAUGGCUCAGAGCCUGGAGCCUGUUUCCGAUUCUGUGUCUCCCUCUCUCUCUGCCCCUCCCCCAUUCAUGCUCUGUCUCUCUCUGUCCCAAAAAUAAAUAAACGUUGAAAAAAAAAAAAAAAAGAAAGUCACACAUAUAUACACAAUGGAAUAUUACUUAGCCAUAAAAAAGAAUGAAAUGACAUGGAUGGAGCUAGAAAGUAUUAUGCUAAGUGAAAUCAGUCAGAGAAAGACAAAUACCAUAUGAUUUCACUCAUAUGUGGAAUUUAAGAAACAAAACAGAUGAACACAGUGGGGGGGAAAAAGAGAAAUGCAAACCAGAAAACAGAUUCUUAACUAUAGAGAACAAACUGAGGGUUUCUGGAGGGGAAGUGGGCGGGGGGAUGGGUUAAAUGGGAUAUGGGUAUUAAGGAGGACACUUGUGACGAGCACUGGAUCUUGUAUGUAAGUAAUGAAUCACUAAAUCCUGCACCUGAAACUAAUAUUACACUAUAUGUUAACUAACUGGAAUUUUAAUAAAAACUUAGAACAAAACAAAACAAACCCCCCCAAAAAGAACAAAAAAGGAAAGUUGCACUGGCACAGGGUGGAGACUGGAUUUGGGGAAGGCCAGGUUGGUACUAGGGAGCCCAGUGUGGGACUGCUCACUGCCCAUGUGAGACAUAACUGGGUCCUGACAACAGCAGUGAUACCUGGAACUCCUGGAAAGGAGAGGGUAGAUUCAUGAGUUAGUUCAGACAUCGAUGCCAUUGAGUUUGGUGAUUGAUUGUAGGUGGGGGGUGGGUAUUAAAGUUGAAAGAAAAUACUAAAAUGACUUCUUGGCUUCUGACUUUGAGCAGAUUUACCGGCACAGAAAGAAAGCCAGUAUAGAGGGUAAGAUUAUCCAUAUUAUUAAUAAUUCUGCAAGUAGAAGAUAAGAUAUUGGGAGAGCUACAUAUCACUAAAUGCUUUUCUGACUUACACAUCACUCCUCUCCUUCCUCCCCACCACAAACCUCCUCCACAAAACUGUCACACAGAACACAAAAGAAUCACCAGUCUUUAGUGGAAAUAUGCAGUUUGAAAACUAGCAAGUGGAAUGCAGUGAGCAGAUUGUUUAUUCCACCUUGGAAGCAACGAAAAUAUAAUUUGAGAAAAGAAAAUUGUGACUUUAUGAUUGUCUUUAGUUCUGUAAUCAAGGGCAAUCAUCCUAAUACAAAUAUGUUUUUGAAAAACAGAAAUAAGUUCCCUGGCUUUUA